AAGUUGUGCUUCGAUCAUCAGACUUUGAUGAGGACAGUGUCCUGAGUCAGCCGUCAGUUAUUCCAUACUAAUGAGACCUGGAGGUCCAGAAGUGAUUCACUUCCGAGCCGUGUUUGAUCAUUGGAGGUUUUUUCUCCCAGCAAUGGAUCUGACUCCAUGUGACCUUGGCCAAGUGGUCAUGAAGACUUGACUGGAAACUUGAGUCACCAAUGGCAUUUGCAAUCCGGAGAAGAAUCUCUGCUGGGAACUUCAAGUUGAACCCUUAGACUCUCAGUUUUCAGGAAAGAUUAUGAGCCACGAGAAACUACAAGACACUGUGAUUCUCAUGUGGGAAAAUGAGCUGCCUGCUGAAGACCUCCAAUCACUUUAAGUAUAUUCAGAGAGUAAAGGAAAAUUAUGUCUAGAAACUGAACGAAACUAGAAGAGCAUUAUCUCACCAAAUAGAGGAUCUGAGGGAGGGUAUAGAGCUGUGAUUUUAGAAUUAUAGAGUAGGAGAUACAAGGUCAUAUGUGGAAAGUUCUUUAGAAGGAUUAGGCAGCAGACUCAAAAAGUCAUAGGAAUGUCAGCAAGCUUGAAGGCAGGUGGGUGAGUGGAGCUUUUCCAGUCCAUAGAAAACCAAAAGAACAAUGAAGAAAACUGAACAGAGGCUCAAGGAUGUGUGGUGUGCUGCUAAACAUUAGAGGAGUCCCAGAAAGGGAGGACAGAAAGGACUGGGAAGGUUUCCAUGUGUGCACACACACAGAAAUCAGAGGGCAGACCAGAAGCUCAGUGUGUUCU
rnacentral:lncRNA from 1 species